rnacentral:guide_RNA from 1 species
AACAAAAACACUACUAGCAUUGAUAGGUAUAUGAUGAAAUU